UAGGGAAUCUUCCACAAUGGACGCAAGUCUGAUGGAGCAACGCCGCGUGAGUGAAGAAGGUUUUCGGAUCGUAAAGCUCUGUUGUUGGUGAAGAAGGAUAGAGGCAGUAACUGGUCUUUAUUUGACGGUAAUCAACCAGAAAGUCACGGCUAACUACGUGCCAAG
rnacentral:rRNA from 1 species